UUUUUACACAGCCUAAACUACAUGUUUCUUCUUGUAUCUCAUUUUUGCAGUGCCACCAGCAACCUCCUGGCAACACCUGUGGUUUUUACACAGCCUAUCACAUGAUGAUAGCUAUGGAUUUUACUAAUUUGCAAGAUCAUGAGGCAGCCCAACAAGAAAGAUCGACUUUCAUAGAUUUGUUGCUGCCUCUUCUGUCUGAAUACGACAAUCUCCAGCCUUCUGUUUUUGAUGCCCAAUCAAUUGUCGGUAAUCUAAAGGGCUUAUUUAAAAUACUUCAAAAGCAAGAGGAUAGCCUAUAAGAAGUUGGUACAUGCUACAAAGUUCCGAUGCCACCAACAACCUCCUGGCAACACCUGUGGUUUUUACACAGCCUAUCACAUGAUGAUAGCUAUGGAUUUUACUAAUUUGCAAGAUCCUGAGGUUGUUGUUCAUUUCAUCACUGGUCAGCUAGGGUGAGCAGCUCCCUCCAAGUAGUCACCCCCAGGUCCUCGAGCUCCAGCACGCAAGAAGCUGCCUCCUUUUGCUUGCCAUGACCAUGAAUAGUUUCAGUUCAGUUUACCUGAGAGAGCAUGUGUCCCGUACAGCCACACAUACUUAUCUUAUUUGGAGCCAUAUUUUUAGACCCUGAUGUCCCUUGUAAUUGCCAUUUAUUCUAGAGCAAUCAUCACAUUUUGAUUGGUUAGGUGGAUGCUCUAUGUAAUUGCUUACAAUUUAAUAGACUGUAAUCAAAAUUUUUAUGUACUGUGAACCAUUUAUCUUAUGUAUUUUGAUCAUGAAAAGUCUUACGUAAGGUCAAUUUUCAGACUGUUUUA